UACGUAGGGGCGAGCGUUGUCCGGAAUUAUUGGGCGUAAAGGGUUCGUAGGCGGUAAUACAUGUCAGAUGUGAAAUCUUGCGGCUUAACCACAUCAAGCAUCUGAAACUGUAUAACUUGAGUGGAGGAGAGGUAAGUGGAAUUCCUAGUGUAGCGGUGAAAUGCGUAGAUAUUAGGAAGAAUACCAGUAGCGAAGGCGACUUACUGGCCUCUAACUGACGCUGAUGAACGAAAGCGUGGGUAGCAAACAGGAUUAGAUACCCGGGUAGUCCCU
rnacentral:rRNA from 1 species